AGUCCUUUUAAUGUGGUCCCGUGAGGCCGCCAAAGGAGACAGUGGAAUUUAGUAUAUCCUUGUUGCCUUUAAAUCCUUGCGGGUUUAAAGGCUUUUUUAU
rfam:Lactobacillus oligofermentans DSM 15707 = LMG 22743 strain DSM 15707 NODE_5, whole genome shotgun sequence.